ACCAGGCACGGUGGCAUGCGCCUGUAGUCCCAGCUACUUGGGAGGCUGAGGUGGGAGGAUUGCUUGAGUCCAGGAGUUCUGGGCUGUAGUGCACUAUGCCGAUUGGGUGUCCGCACUAAGUUCGGCAUCAAUAUGGUGACCUCCUGGGAGUGGGGGGCCACCAGGUUGCCUAAGGAUGGGUGAACUGGCCCAGGUCGGAAAUGGAACAGGUCAAAAAAAAUCCUGAAGCCUUUUAGCCCUUUGUUAAUUAUUUGUUUGCUGUUGUCCUUACAUUCUUUUAUGCUAUUCCUCACAGU
rnacentral:SRP_RNA from 1 species